rnacentral:misc_RNA from 1 species
UUAACCCUUUCAUGCCGUUACCAUAGUAACGGACUAUAAUGGACGAAAUAAUCGAAGGAUACCAAGAUUUGUCCUCACAGGAGGAUUUGAACAGCGAAGGUUUUGAUCAGAGCAUUACAACCACCAGUAGUAGCAGUAGUGAGAAUGAACUUGGAGGCGGCCUUUCUGAUGAAUAUGAAGAUUAUGAAGAAAGAGAGGAAGAGAGUGUCCCUCUUAACACUAAUUCUUAUUUUGAGGAUGACAGUGGCAGUAUAACUGAUCCACCUAAAUCUUCAUCGGUUAAUGUGAAGAAACAGCAGAAGCUUAACAGAAAAGAAGUAAAAGAAUUUUACAAAUUAUCAUCCAACAUGGCUCAAAUGAAUGACAACUUGGAGGAAAAGCAAGCAGAAUUACAUCAAGCAAUGAAAAAGCUGUCUCAGUGCAGAGAAAGUGCAAGGAAGUUAAAAACUGAAUGUUAUCAGAUUGAAUCAGGUUUACUGCUAGAAGAAGAGUCACCUGAACAGACUAAGCCUUUGAAUGAUUCAGGACUAGCUAAGCAACAGUUAGAGAAAACAAGAAAAGAAUUAUCAGUAAAACAAUGUCAUGAAGAUGAUCUUAAAAUUAAAAUAAGUCAACUUGAGCUUGAUCUGUUAGAGGCCCAGCUACUACAGUCAACUGAAUGUAGUGAUCCAUCAUCAUUUUAUCAACAACAGAAGAUGAUAAUACAACAGCACAAGCACAAACAAGGAUUACUAAGAGUGCAGACACAGACUAGAGAAGUGAUUGAGGCUCAAAGAAGAGACUUAAAAGAUGAAAGAGACAAAAGACAUCGAAAGGUUGCAGCCAUUAAAACUGUUCAGUCUACACAGAAAGGAGAGAAACUUCAACAACAUCUACGAGAGAAAUCAGCAAAACUUAGGAUAGAAAGAGCUGCUAAUGAAGAGAUAGAGCUUGAAGAUAGAAAGACAAGGAUAAAAGCUUUACUUAGUUUAAAGAAAAAUAUUGAAUCUAGUCAAGAAUCAAUGCGUGCUCAUCAGUCACUACUAAAAGAAAAAGAAAAGACUAAAUUGAAGGAAGAAGAGGAAGAGAAGUCAAAACUGGCGAUGGAAAUGAGAGGAGAGGAUCCCACUGUUAUUAUAUUAAAAAGAAAAAGACUAGAGCAAUUAAGCAAAGAAAAACAGAUUUUUGAGCAGAAAAUUAAAAGGAGACAAGCUGAGAUCAUUUCUCAACUAUUGGAUGAAACUAAGAGAUUAUCUAAACAAUCGCAACAACAGGAACAUCAAGAUUUAGCACAGAAGAAAGAUAGAGCUACCACAAAAAAAACAGGAAUUAAACUUGAAACAAGUGAUGAAAAUGAAGAGGAUGGAUUAGUUACUGUUACUGAAAGUAAUGAAGAGAAUGUACCUGCAGAUGAAACUGGUAGUGAUACUUCAAUUAAGAAGCUGCCAUCAAAAGAUAUGGCUAUGAAGAAGACACUACUUCAACCAGAUAUACCUGGUUUAUGGGAGCCAAAAUCAGAGCAGAAACUAGCAAAACAAAUUAAACGAAGCAAAAUGGAGCAGUCUAUAAUGGAAAAGAGGCUUACGAAGCUAAAAGAAAGUGUGAUAUCUACUCAAGUUGCUGCAGGAAAAGUAUUCAAGGGAGAACAUUCAUUUCUCAGCAAACCAGAAGAAAUUAUAUUUAAGGAUUUUGAUGUUGGAAAAGUAUAUAAAAAGAAGGUGCAGUUAACUAAUGUGUCAUAUUCAAUCAGUCAUGUUAAACUACUUGGAGCCAGUGAUAAUCUCAAAAACUUCGUACAAAUUGAGUUUACUCCACCUGGUGCAAUGUCAGCUGGCAUUACAUGCCCUCUGUUAAUUACUUUUGAACCUAAAGUAAAUGAGGACAUCAUUGGAUCUGUUGAUUUUAUGUCACAAACUGGACCUUUUUCCAUAAAUGUCAAGUGUCUUAUUAAGAGAUGCCUGGUGGUGGUAAAUAAAUCAGAAAUUGAAUUUGGUCCAAUUUGUAUUGGUGAAACCAUUAAAAGAUCAGUCACUGUGCAUAAUAAUGGAGCUCUACCAACUGAUUUUACUUUCCUACCAUUAAGUGAAACAGGAGUUAGUGGUGAUACAAAACAAGCAUCAGAUUUGACUGAUAAGGAAGAGGCCCCACUAUCAGUAGAGAGCCAAAGGAGUAUAUUGAGCACAGUAGAGUAUGCCUCAGAUCAAAAAAUGCUUCUGAAAAUGGGCAGAGCACUUGAUGAUAAGCAGCAUGCACACUCAUUGGUCGACAUUAAUUCAAUCUCAUCUGUCAACACUAAAACAAAACUAGUGAAGCCAGGAAGAGCUUCAGCAAAGAAAUCAGAACAAGAGAAAGGUAAUGAUACUAAUGCUACAGAGGAUGCAGUUGAGAGUAAAGAAGACAAAGAUAAUCUAGUAGAUGAUCCUGUUACUCUUGCUGUUAGUGAAGAGUCUUUGGACAAUGGAGAGAAAGUGAAUGAUGUCAGCCCCAUCACUAUAAGCGAAGGAAUAAGGUCUGGAAUGAUAGAUCCAUAUUCGUCAGUUGUGUUAGAUCUUGUGUUCUGUCCUAAGAUUUCUGGAAGUUAUCAGUCACAAUUUGUUUUAAGCACUACUAAUGAACCAAUACAUAUAGUAGCUACUGGUGAAGCCAUUGAUUUACCAAUUUAUACAGAGAGAGAGGUAAUUGAUUUAGACAUCUGCAUGACUGAUCUGCUUUAUCAAGAUUCAGUUGUUCUAUGUAACAGGUCAAGGACAGCUUUGCAGGCUACAUUCUCUAUUCCUUCUCUUGUGUCUGAUCACAUGGAGAUAAUACCAAAGUAUGGGCUUGUUCAGGGUGGCUCAUCAUUCACAGCUCAACUUAAAUUCCUUCCCCGACCAUCAUUACUGACUGAAGAAUCCAGCGAACUCUUUGAAGGAGGGACACUCAAAGUUCCUAUUAGUAUAAUUGUAGCUGGACAAUCAUCACCAGUUACUUUUACAGUAAUGGCAACAGUGACAGAAUCUGAUAUUAGUCUUUCACAGACAACAUUGGACUUUGGACAGUGCACAAUACAUGAAUCAGUAUACACCAGCAUACAGUUAACUAAUAAAAGCUGUUUACCUCAAGACUUUGGAUUUGUUCACCUUCCCAAAUGGUUGUCCGUUCAACCAAAUGAUGGCUUUGGUACUCUAUUACCUCAUGAAACACUUUCAGUUGAUGUAAUAUUUACACCAGAUGUUCCUAAAGAAUAUUUUACUAACACUGUAUCCUGUCUUACUGUGAUAAACAAGGAGUACAAGCUAACUGUAAAAGGUACUGGUAUUCAUACUCCUUUGAGGCUCUCUCACUCUACUGUACUCUUUAAUGAUACUCCAUUGAACACUAUCAGUGUAUCUCGUAUUUCUAUACUCAAUCCAUCAACUCCUUCAGCUCAUAAUGCAGUCACAAAAGGGCCAACACCUCUUAAAGCUUCCAGGUUGUUUGAAUUUCAUAUUCCUUCAGAAAACUUGCCAAUAUCAGUUUCACCAGCAGUAGGGAUUGUAGAUCCUGGCAAGAGCAUUGAUAUUGAGAUCAGUUUUAGUCCUAAACUUGAUCAGCAAAGUAUCAAAGACAGGAGUAUUGCUUUAGCAAAGAAGGAUGCAGCUGCUAUAGCUGCAAAGAAAGCAGAGGAGGACAGAUUAGCUAGUGCAGAAGAAGAAAAGCAAUCAAAAUCUUCAAAAUCAAAAGGUCGUCGUACAACUGGUCGCCCAACAAGUCAAGCUAGUAAUCGUAGCUCAUUGUGUUCAGACAGUGCGUUAAUGUCAGGAUCACAACAGAAGAUUGAACAGACUAAUAAUAAUAAAGGAGAAGCUUGUGAAGUGUCAAACAGUGAAAUAUCUCGUUUUUGGUGGAAAGCCUAUGAUCAAUUACUGCACGAAUAUGAAUGUGCUCAGUAUCGAUGCAUGAUACCAUGUUUCAUAUCUAACCCACAAACCAAGAUUACUGAUCAUCCAGGAAUCAUUGAGUACAGUUAUGAAAUGAGACUUUUAAGUAGCAUUAAUUACUAUAUAGACCAGAGGAGAUACUGUAUGUUGAUGUAUCAGCUACUGCCAUUAAGCCAUCACUUUUUCUUGUGUCUAAUGAUGGAUGUGCCACUAUUGAUUUUGGAGAUGUUGGAGUAGGAAGCUAUUGUAAAAAGACUGUUGUACUAAAGAACAUGUCAAUAGAGAAAUUGAAGGUGACUGCUACUAGUAUGAGAAGUGGGUUUGAGAUA